rfam:Habropoda laboriosa contig15707, whole genome shotgun sequence.
GGAGCAAUUGGCGUAGUGCGCAAAGCUUCGGCUUGCUAAGCCCAAGGUCCCGGGUUCGAUUCCCGUUGGGUCCC